GCAACGACUCUCGGCAACGGAUAUCUCGGCUCUCGCAUCGAUGAAGAACGCAGCGAAAUGCGAUACUUGGUGUGAAUUGCAGAAUCCCGUGAAUCAUCGAGUCUUUGAACGCAAGUUGCGCCCGAAGCCAUUAGGUUAAGGGCACGCCUGCCUGGGUGUCACGC
rnacentral:rRNA from 3 species